rnacentral:rRNA from 1 species
AAAUUGAAGAGUUUGAUCAUGGCUCAGAUUGAACGCUGGCGGCAGGCCUAACACAUGCAAGUCGAACGGUAACAGGAAGCAGCUUGCUGUUUCGCUGACGAGUGGCGGACGGGUGAGUAAUGUCUGGGAAACUGCCUGAUGGAGGGGGAUAACUACUGGAAACGGUAGCUAAUACCGCAUAACGUCGCAAGACCAAAGAGGGGGACCCUCGGGCCUCUUGCCAUCGGAUGUGCCCAGAUGGGAUUAGCUAGUAGGUGGGGUAACGGCUCACCUAGGCGACGAUCCCUAGCUGGUCUGAGAGGAUGACCAGCCACACUGGAACUGAGACACGGUCCAGACUCCUACGGGAGGCAGCAGUGGGGAAUAUUGCACAAUGGGCGCAAGCCUGAUGCAGCCAUGCCGCGUGUAUGAAGAAGGCCUUCGGGUUGUAAAGUACUUUCAGCGGGGAGGAAGGGAGUAAAGUUAAUACCUUUGCUCAUUGACGUUACCCGCAGAAGAAGCACCGGCUAACUCCGUGCCAGCAGCCGCGGUAAUACGGAGGGUGC